AGAGCGAACGCUGGCGGCAGGCCUAAUGCAUGCAAGUCGAGCGGUCCCUUCGGGGGCAGCGGCGGACGGGUGAGUAACGCGUGGGAACGUGCCCUUUGGUACGGAACAACUGAGGGAAACUUCAGCUAAUACCGUAUGUGCCCUUCGGGGGAAAGAUUUAUCGCCAUUGGAGCGGCCCGCGUUGGAUUAGGUAGUUGGUGAGGUAAAGGCUCACCAAGCCUACGAUCCAUAGCUGGUCUGAGAGGAUGAUCAGCCACACUGGGACUGAGACACGGCCAGACUCCUACGGGAGGCAGCAGUAGGGAAUCUGCGCAAGUGGGACGAAAGCCUGACGCAGCCAUGCCGCGUGAAUGAACGAAGGUCUUAGGAUUAGUAAAUUCUUCACGGGACGAUAAUGACGUAACCGGAGAAGAACGCCCGCUAACUGUGCCAGCUAAGCCGAC
rnacentral:rRNA from 1 species